UGUGACAGAACACACAGCACUGUGCUGCUAUCUUGUUUUAAUUACAUGCAACAUUUUUCUUCAGAAUGAAGAAAACAAUCGAGACAAUAAUCCGUGAGCAAGCAGAUAUGUGGAUGCAAAAGAGAUGCCUACAGUAUUCCUCUGUUGGUAGUACCAAGAAGAAAGGUCAUGAAAAGCCCCAUAAAUAGCCUCUAUUACCCAGAAAGCAAGCCUUGAGGGAGAGAUGGAAUGGAGUUCAAACAAGGGAAGCCGAGAUGUAUCAUCUGCCUGCACUGAAGUAUAAGCAGUUACCAGCUGAUGUCAUACACUGCUUGAUGACGUUGAUAUUGCUGGAAAUAUCUCUAGGACUGAAAAUAGCAGAAAUGUCAGUAAGAAAGUGGCAGAGCUCUACAGCCUUGGUCUGGUUUUGCUGUUCAGGGUUUAUUGUUCGGCUGAGAAAGCCUUGAAGAUUCCCAAACCAGUGACAUGAAAACCAAGGAAUGUGCAAUCCCCAUGACUUUGACCCAAACACUCUGCAGUUACUCCGGACUGUGUUUGGUAAAGGUAGGAGCUGGUGUAAGGUGAGCAGGCUGAUGGCUGCAUCAUCGAGAGACACAGAGCUGUCCAAGUGAGUCUUGGACCCAAAAGGUAGAGCUGUACCAAAGCUGUACACAAAACAACUGGGAGCCACAAGGCUUGGAAUGGGGCACUGCCUGUCCACCCGAGCUGCAGAAUGAAGUCUGCCCACACCUAGGAGGAAAACUUGACCCUUAUAGAAAGUGACUACCUUCAUUUUAUGAUUGUAAACUACUAAUAGCAACUCUUGGUAUAACCUGCAGGGCUGGAAAUAAUGAGGGAACCGAAUACAAUACGCCCAGGGCAUGGGCUUAAAGUGAUAACUAUUCAAGCGUAGCCUUUGACUAAUGCAGUUGCUCUUGCGCAUCAAAUAAUGUCAGAAAUGCCACACUUUAUAAGAAAGGGCUAUAAAGCUUCAUUGUGAUCCUUCAGCCCAAAAAUCCAUGCUCAAAAAGCUAAAAAGUUUUUAAAUAUGCUGUAUGACAUAUAGGGAAGUGGAUACAGGAAUGGAAAAUAUUCCAGGUCACCUGCAUUACAUUAAAAAUGUGUUUUCCCCACUCAGUGCUUUUACACAAGCAUGCCCACACACAUUGCUUUUUUACUUUAAUCUCUACGGUUUUGUUUCUGCAGUAUUAGAUUAGCCAGAUAAGGCUACUGGAGGGCAGCCAACAGUGAUAGCUGAAGAACAGCAUGGAUGCCUCUUAAAGCAUUUGGAUCGUUCGCUCCAAGCAGCAUCUUGCAGCACUGAGUCUAAUCCAUCAUGAGUUUAGCCAUGUUGGCAGCCAGGACAGUAACAGCUGAAGAAAAUGCAAGCACAAGCAUUUUCUGCUCAGCAGAGGACUAGGACAUCAGAAUGGGUCCUCAGCAGUGAUUCUUGUGAGGAAAACCACCUGCUUUUGUUGUGCUUUCUGGGACAAUCCCUGCGAUAGUGAUGGUGUAACAGAAAUAAUCAUUCGAAGGGAAAAAACCCAUCUCAAGCAUGGACUCAAGCAGCGUGUGCUUGCCUGGUGUUUGAGCACACACAGCCCUACUGUCACUUGCUAUAGACUGGCCAAACCAGCGGCUAAGCCUGCCUGUGGAUGGAGCUUCUGAGGGUACAUUGGCCAGUUAGAGAAUUUAAUAAGACAUUGCAGCCUCUAUUCCAGGUAAAUGGUCUUGAAGUCCAUUAAAUGCAAGAUGAUGAUUUUUGUCUUUUGUAAGAAGCUAUUCUGGUUUCUUUUUUUUUUUUUCCAUGCAUGAUAAUUGGUAUUUUAAAGCCAUUUAUAACUGAUAGUUCAGAUAAAAGAGUUUUCAUAUUUACCAAAACUCAGAGGUGCCUAGCACUCUAAAAUAAAGAGAGUCUUUUUGUUUCAUUAAGUAAAUUCAGGCAAGCUGUUGUUUGCCAGCUUGCUGCCACUGGGAAAGCAGCACUUCCCUAAAGGAUGGUGGAGCACAUUUAGAGCUGACCUGGCAGGCAGGCACCCUGACUGCUGUACCCUGCAGUGCUUGCUCUGCACAGAGCUCCUCUCCAGUGUCCAUACAAACCAGGUGAACUGUGCAGCUUUUCAGAAACACAAUGGCAUUAUUCUAAAAGGCCACAAUUUUCCAGCACUUGCAUUGCAUUUUAAAUAUCCAGUUUUCUCUAGAGAUGAAAUAGGCAAGCUCUUAUUCUACCUAACGUCUGACUUCUGUAGGCCUAUCGUCCUGUUCAUAUAAUGCAUCCUAUUCAGGAACACCCCAAAUACUGAUGUCCAAAACACUAUUUAUUUACCCUUCAAAGGUGAUUUGCAGUAACUUAAAACAAGCAAACAAAACUGUUUGCUUCUCUCUGCAAGUCGUUGUCUACUACAAACAACCCUUAACCUCUUCUUCCUUCCCCAAAAGGUAACCACAGUUUGCUGCAGUUCUGGCUCCUGCUACCAUCAGUAAACACCGAGGCUUCCUAAAUCACUGCUCCUAAGUGGCAUUUCCCAGACGUCUUUGUGCUCUAUUUUUUUAAGUCAGAGGGUUCUCCUGCUUGUUUCUUUCUUUUUUUUUUUUUUUCUUAUUUCUGACAAAGUAAAAGCGUGUUUCAAUGUGUCUUUAUCGUUGGUUUAUGAGUAUUUGUUGCAAAAUAAGCAUUUCACAAGAGUGAGCUCAAAAUCUGUUUCAAACAAUCCAUUUUAGCAUCCAAACACAUCAUUCCAUACCCAACCCAGGUGUUCACCAGCACUGUCAGACCUGCCACCCUCCUCUCUCCUGCAGCCCAUUCUGGGCCUGAAAUUUCAGCAAAUAUUACACAGUAUUUUGCAAGACAUUU
rnacentral:lncRNA from 13 species